CCUACACCAUUCGACAUCGCUUAACGUGUACAUCGGAUUUUGUAAUAUACAAACUUACUUGCCCAUGUGGACUGGCCUAUGUGGGCAAAACAGAUUUACCCUUACGUGAACGAAUCCGUAACCAUAGAUCCAGUAUACGGACUGCUUAUAGGGACAACAAAUCUGAGCAACCCGUGGCAAAACAUUUUCUUGAGAAGGGACACUCGUUGCCCACCCUGAAACUGAUAGCCAUAGACCAUGUUCCACCUUUGCGCAGAGGUGGAGACCGCAGUAAACUGUUAUUGCAGCGUGAACUGUACUGGAUUAGGACUCUACACACCGUUCAGCCAUUUGGUUUGAAUGAAAAAUACUCAUUGGCAGUAUUUUUGUAAAUAUUGGUAUCGUGGUUUUGGUUGAUAGGGGAACGAGAAUGCCCACCCAGGGGGAUAGGCAUCUCUAAUAUCCUUCCCAUUAUACCGCUUUGCUAUUCACAUAUUUAGCAAGUUGUUGGCACUUAUUGGCGACUAUUAAGGGCUUGGAGGUAGCCCAC